rnacentral:rRNA from 1 species
UAGCGGCGGACGGGUGAGUAACACGUGGAUAACCUACCUAUAAGACUGGGAUAACUUCGGGAAACCGGAGCUAAUACCGGAUAAUAUAUUGAACCGCAUGGUUCAAUAGUGAAAGACGGUUUUGCUGUCACUUAUAGAUGGAUCCGCGCCGCAUUAGCUAGUUGGUAAGGUAACGGCUUACCAAGGCAACGAUGCGUAGCCGACCUGAGAGGGUGAUCGGCCACACUGGAACUGAGACACGGUCCAG